AACCUUAUGGACCUGCGGGCGUAUACCUGCGGAGGGAUCAUUACCGAGUAUUUGGGUCUUUUAGGCCCUAACUCACCACCCUUUGUGUACCAAUUUACCAAUUGUUCAGUUGCUUUGGCAGGUGCUCCUCCAUUUACUUUUGGGGGACCCUGCCAUUGGAACCACUUUUAAACUCUUGUUAUUACGUGUCUGUCUGAGUAAAAACAAAAAUGAUUAAAACUUUUAACAAUGGAUCUCAGA
rnacentral:misc_RNA from 1 species